rnacentral:rRNA from 1 species
GACGAACGCUGGCGGCGUGCCUAAUACAUGCAAGUCGACCGCAGUGGGGACGGGCGAGUAACACGCGGGUAACCUCCCAUCAGAGGGGAUAACACUUGGAAACAGGUGCUAAACCGAUACUGAUGGAUGGACCCGCGGUGCAGUGGCUAGUUGGUGAGGUAACGGCUCACCAAGGCCACGCUACAUAGCCGACCUGAAGGGGUGAUCGGCCACACUGGGACUGGGACACGGCCCCAACUCCUACGGUAAGCAGCAUUAGGGAUUCUUCGGCAAUGGACGAAAGUCUGACCGAACAACGCGGCGUGAGUGAAGAAGGUUUUCGGAUCGUAAAACUCUGUUGUUAGAGAAGCGGUAUCUAACCAGAAAGCCACGGCUAGCUACGUGCCAGCCGCCGCGGUAAUAC